ACUUAGACCAAAUACAUGCUUUAAUUUUGUUUGACCUUCAUAUCUGAGGACAGCAGAAAUUUAAAUGAGCAACUUCUCAAAAUCCAAAACUUAAUAGAAAGAACUGCUUAUAAACUCAAUAUGAGCCCGUUUGAAAAAGCAGGUUUGAUAUAAAAAGCAUUUUUGUCAACUAUUUGGUUAAAGGCUAAAACUGAGUUUCAACCAUCACAAACUCUAUUUUUGAAAAAGCAGCAAAUGACGUGCUUUUCUAGAAAAGAAGGUUUGGAAAAAACAUGGGCAUCAUAUUUUAGUAUUUUUAUGGACAAAAAUAUCCUUAAGAUGUUAUCAUAUUUACCAUUAUGCCGAUAUGAAAACAUCCCAUUUUGGUGAACGACCCCUUUCUCUUUCUCACCUUUCUCUCAACUCUGAAUUUCUUCUUAUAUACUAGAAAAUUGAAACCAUUUUCAGUUUAUAUGUUUCUAUAUUUACUUGGAGGUCAGUGAAUUUGUGCUUAUUUUACUCAUUUCUCAGAGCCCUUAAUGAUAAUAGAAUUCAUAUACAAGUAUUUUUGGAUUAAAUUAGGCAUUUGUUGAUCCCAAGAUUCCGAUUCAGAAUGGGGUGAAAUUUAGCAUUUGUUUAAAUGGUUUUUGCCAUGGCUCAUGAUGCCUCUCCUAGUGGCCUCGUUUUCUUUUGGGUUUUCUUUUUGCAGUGGUACUCUUCAAGGUCACUUGUUGGUUAGUGCUUCUUUUCUAUUUAUAUCAUUUAAUUAAAUUUCAGCUUUAAUUCAUGCAUGGGUGAAUGGCACUUAUAAUAAGUAUUGCUCAUCGAUUUUUUUUGGCAGCUUAUUUUUUGUUCUUUUAGAUGUUAAUGAAAAUUGCUUCAAGUUAGAGAUUCAAUAUUUUUAUAGAGCUUCUUUGAUUUUAUCAGUCUUCCAUCACUGGCUAAAUGGGUAUUGUUAAGAUUAUCGUCUUGGGAUUGCGAAGUUUAGAUUCAGUUUUGGAAGCUAAGUUAAUAUUAUACAUAUUUUCUUUGGUUUUUCUUAUUUGUUUUUGUUGGUUAUAUUUGGUGUAAUUUAUGAUAUUUUCUCCUUGGUUGGACUGGUAGUUGCUUUUGGAGGUGAAAAUGAAGGAUUAGGAUGCGUAAAGUAAUUUAUUUUGAAACCUUGUAAGAUAAGAAAUUUUGAAACAAAAAUAUAGGAGAUUUCUAGGCAUUUUACCUGAGGAGUGAGGUCUUAUGAUGCUAGAAUGGGAUUUAGGGUUUGCAAUAAAAUCUGAAUGUUUGCAGUUAUAUUCAGAUUUGAAACAAAAUCUGAAUGUAAUAGGUCACCCAUUCAGAUUUUGAAAAGGCAAAAUGUUUGCAGUUAUAUUCCAUACCACUAACUUUUUCCCCUCUUUUUUUUUGGGUUCAAAAUGACUGGGAAGUAUUGAUGUACCAGCAGCCUAGCAAUACAGACUAGAAUUGAAAUCCAAUAUAGUAAAGCUAACCAAUCAAACACUAGGAUUUGAGUAUCAUAUCCCAUUCCCAAUGCCAAAAGUAUUCAAACAACUUGCACAGAGAUGUUGAUUAUGAGAAUGACCUCGUAUGUAAAUAAUGAAUGUCCUAUUCCUCAGGAACUUCCACUUUUCUCGGAUUCUCAUGCUUUCUUGAGGAACAAAAAGGAAAGAAAUAACAUCUCUAUUUUAUAUGUACACGCACGCACCUAACAAAUGUAAAGCGAAGCCCAAAACUGCCUGCUUUAUAUUAAUACCUCUUAAAAAUAAUCCAAAUUCAUGGAAGUAGAUUUUACGAAGCAUGCCUUAAAAAUUAGGCCAAAUUCACGAGGAUAGGGAGGGAAUGACGACAUUACCAACCUUUGCAAUGGAGAAAUGCUCUGCCACUUCAGAAGCCCAAAGAAUUGUUGCUUCUUCGCCAGAUUUCAGCCUCUGCCAUUUCUGUUUAUGAACUUACAUGAGCAAAAAUAGAAGCAAGAACAAGGAUUGGGUUGCUACUGUAUAUAGCUCUUGGCUGGUUCUUAUUUGGAAGUAUGCCAAAAAGGGACAAGAUAUCCACAAUCGAGCAACUCAGUCAGAGACAGGUG
rnacentral:misc_RNA from 1 species